GGCUACGAUCUUUAGCUGGUCUGAGAGGAUGAUCAGCCACACUGGAACUGAGACACGGUCCAGACUCCUACGGGAGGCAGCAGUGGGGAAUAUUGGACAAUGGGCGAAAGCCUGAUCCAGCGACGCCGCGUGAGUGAAGAAGGCCUUCGGGUUGUAAAGCUCUUUCGGUAGGGAAGAUAAUGACGGUACCUACAAAAGAAGCUCCGGCUAACUUCGUGCCAGCAGCCGCGGUAAUACGAAGGGAGCUAGCGUUACUCGGAAUUAUUGGGCGUAAAGCGUACGUAGGCGGCUUAGUAAGUUGGGAGUGAAAUCCUUGGGCUUAACCCA
rnacentral:rRNA from 1 species